AAGACCUUGCACUUUUGGAGCGGCCGAUGUCUGAUUAGCUAGUUGGUGGGGUAAUGGCCUACCAAAGCUUCGAUCAGUAGCUGGUCUGAGAGGACGGCCAGCCACACUGGGACUGAGACACGGCCCAGACUCCUACGGGAGGCAGCAGUGGGGAAUUUUGGACAAUGGGGGCAACCCUGAUCCAGCCAUGCCGCGUGAGUGAAGAAGGCCUUCGGGUUGUAAAGCUCUUUCAGCCGGGAAGAAAAGGUUGCGACUAAUAAUCGCAAUCCAUGACGGUACCGAAAGAAGAAGCACCGGCUAACUACGUGCCAGCAGCCGCGGUAAUACGUAGGGUGCGAGCGUUAAUCGGAAUUACUGGGCGUAAAGCGUGCGCAGGUGGUUUUGUAAGUCAGAUGUGAAAUCCCCGGGCUUAACCUGGGAACU
rnacentral:rRNA from 1 species